rnacentral:misc_RNA from 1 species
GAAAUGCGAUACGUAAUGCGAAUUGCAGAACUCAGUGAAUCAUCAAAUCUUUGAACGCAAAUGGCGCUUUUAGGAUAGGCCUGAAAGCACGCCUCUUUGAGUAUCGAUUCCACCCCAACAAGUCAACUUGUUUGAAUUUGUUGAAAUUGAGUAUUCCUUUCUUCUUAAGUGAGGAAAUGUUACUUGAAGCUGAAUAGGUUUAUCAAGGAUAUUUGAUCGUAAAAGAGUGUCUUCUUUUUAUUAAGAGGAAUUUUCUUGCGACACGUGGGUAAAUUAUCCAAUACGUGCUGCAAGUCAAAUCUUUCACGAAUUUUCAAAGAUCACAACCUUUAACCCCAAAUCUAAUCUGAGAAUUAGAUCUCAAAUGAAGCGAGAAUACCCGCUGAACUUAA